GAUGAACGCUGGCGGCGUGCUUAACACAUGCAAGUCGAACGAAGCAUUUGCGACAGAUUUUUUCGGAAUGAAGUUGCUUAUGACUGAGUGGCGGACGGGUGAGUAACGCGUGGGUAACCUGCCUUGUACUGGGGGAUAGCAGCUGGAAACAGCUGGUAAUACCGCAUAAGCGCACAAUGUUGCAUGACAUGGUGUGAAAAACUCCGGUGGUAUAAGAUGGACCCGCGUCUGAUUAGCUAGUUGGUGAGAUAACAGCCCACCAAGGCGACGAUCAGUAGCCGACCUGAGAGGGUGACCGGCGACAUUGGGACUGAGACACGGCCCAGACUCCUACGGGAGGCAGCAGUGGGGAAUAUUGCACAAUGGAGGAAACUCUGAUGCAGCGACGCCGCGUGAGUGAAGAAGUAAUUCGUUAUGUAAAGCUCUAUCAGCAGGGAAGAUAGUGACGGUACCUGACUAAGAAGCUCCGGCUAAAUACGUG
rnacentral:rRNA from 1 species